rnacentral:rRNA from 1 species
UACGUAGGGGGCAAGCGUUGUCCGGAUUUAUUGGGCGUAAAGCGCUCGCAGGCGGUCCGAUGCGUCGUGCGUGAAAGACCCCGGCUCAACUGGGGAGGGUCGUGCGAUACGGUCGGACUCGAGGCCAGUAGGGGGACGCGGAAUUCCGGGUGUAGUGGUGGAAUGCGUAGAGAUCCGGAGGAACACCAGCGGCGAAGGCGGCGUCCUGGACUGGUACUGACGCUCAGGGACGAAAGCUAGGGGAGCGAAUGGG